rnacentral:lncRNA from 1 species
GGCCCCCAGACCUGGCUCAGCCAACCUCCUUCCUCCCCCGGUUGCCCCCCACUCUAAAGCCUCCUCCCUCCCAGCGUCCACUGGCUCCAGGCUCCUCACAACAGCAGCUCAUAGACACGGGGCGUCUCCAGGUGGUCCCAGCCCUCCAGAUGUUUCUAGCUCUCCAGGUGGGCGCUGUUUUCACGUCUGCCUGCAUCCAUUCAUUCCUUCAUUCCUCACCUUUAUCCUGUUAUCUCUAUUUUUUUAAGCUACCAGGAAGGAAAGGGAAGAAGAGAUCACGAAACUGGGACCCCCAGAAGGGAGGAGUGGGCUUUGAACUUAGACAUCUACCUCAG